AAGGUUUCUCCUCCAGCCCAGGGAGCCAGGGGCUGGCAUUCUGUGUCCAGGACUUCGGGCCCUCUGUGAGCCUCUGUCCGCCAAGGCGAUGGAGCUGUGUUUGGAGUCCCUCGCCACUGCCUUCAGAGAAGGUGACAGAGGGCCAUGUCUGAAACAUUCUCCCACAACCAGGAACCCUCAGCAGCCGCUGAAGAGGAAAGGCAGUUAAAUGGAAAGACUUCUGAGCAAGUGGAGGAAAAGUCACGUGUGACCUAGGGAGGGGCUCCCACAGGAAGGGGCAAUGCCCUUGCCCUGUUCACCUAGCCUCCAGGUGGCUUCCCACUUGAAAUUUCAGAGGAUGGCAGAAACCUACUUACAAGGAAAUGAAAGAGGGCACAGCAACCUUAAGACCAGAGCAGCCCACGAUAUUUUUUAAUGAGGGCAAAAAUAGAAGACUUGCAAAAGACCCCUGAAAAUAAUGCCUGGAAGCUGCGAAACAUCAGACUGACACCGCACAAAAGAGGUCCAGCUGAGCAGGAGAAAAGCUUGAGAAGCAUCCAGAACAAUGUAGGUGGAGAGGCUAAGAAGAAAGAGGAGCCCACAUGGAAUGAAUAACCAAGGUCGGGACAGAGGAAGGUUCGCCAGAACUGGGAGGGCUGAAAUUGGACAUUGAGAUAAAUUAAAGAGUGUUCUUUAAAA
rnacentral:lncRNA from 1 species